ensembl:lncRNA
AUAUGACAAAAAGGUGCUUCAUAUCAACCAACUUGCGUAACAUUUCUGAGCCCCAUAUAGCAGUAUUUUUUUGGGAUGACGUUGGCCUUUCACAGACCAUCUAACCUGAGACAACCAAUCAAAAUGUCUAAUAAGUUUAGCCAACCUCUCUUUAGUACAGCAAAACAAUUCAAAUGGGGCUUUCUUUAUUAGCUGCAGAAGUGAUCCAGCCCUGUGUAUUGUUUUUUUUAGUAGUCUGAAGAUGCAAAGAUGAUCCAACCCUGUGUAUUUAUCCUUUUGGUCAACACAGUAUGCUCACAGUCCAAAUCAGUGUCUGACCCAGUCCCACCAGGAGACUCUGUGACUCUACAUUGUAAUGGAACAAAAUUGGAUACCGAAAACCCCAGAAGGAAUGUGCUGAUUCCAGUAACAUUCAUCCUCGGUGAAGCACUGUUAAUGUGUAUCGUUCUGAUAAUCUACCUCAUGUACACAAGGAAGAAUAAAACGAUCUGUGACUGUUGUAAUGCAGGAGCCAUUCCACUUCAAUCCGGUGGUGAAGUUCCCAGUUCCGAUCAGCAAAGUGAUCAGAGAAACGGUGAGGACGUGCUGCAGUACUCUGCUCUGACUUUCCCUCAAAACACAACUCCAGCCGAGGCCAAGAGCGACGCGAUGGGCGGAGAGAGUGUCUACUCUGAUGUGAAAAGCUUUGGAUGGGACUGAAACUGACUAAUUCAAUGCUAAAAUUCCAGCAAAUAGAUCUUACAUUUUGUUGCCAUUGUUUCUACAAUUACGUUUCUGUCAGAAGAGUGUGAUUUAUGUGUGACAUACUUCUUUGCUGAAGCUCAUUGCUGUUGCUUGUUAUAAUAGGUAAUAACUAGUGGUAAAAGUGUUGUUGUAUUAGGAUUAUGCUGAAAUAGAUUUGAAUGUUGUUUUCUCAAACAAAUUGUUCGUGUACUUAUUAUCAUAUAGUGUUGAUAUCGUCAUCAAACUCUUUUUACACUCUUUCUGUCACGAUCUGAAUAUUAUCAAUGAACAAUUUCCUCUUCCAAAUGUCAUGCCUCCUCUUACCAAGAGAUGGCAGUAGUGUUAAAGAUUGAGAAUCAUAGCAGUCAGUGUUUGUGUUGACUUCUCUCCAAGUUCUUAAUAUACAGUGUUGCCUUCCUUCCCAGGUCAGCAGUGUUGCCUUCUUUCCAAUGCUUAACAUACAGUAUAAAUCACAUAAAUGGUGGAACAUCUCUGUCUUAGGCUGUUUGAGAAGGUUUGAAUCUUAAGCAACCUGUCUCUGUUAUUUCUCAUGUGAAUUUCCUUCUAUUUUCAGACUCAGUCUUUGUGUUUCAUUUCCAUGUUUUUAAACCGAAAGGUGAUUAUUCAACAUUAUAAAUUGUGUAUUUUGGGUCCUCAUGCUGUUUGGCUGAAACAGCAUUUCAGUCAUGUGUAUAUCAGACAAUAUACCACAGGUAUUACACAAAAACACAAAAACACAUUUAUAAUAGAACUAAGGUACUCUGGCCGCCUCGGUCCUUAUUGCUAUAUAGUACACAACAUUUUUAUAUGCUAAAUGUAUCUGAAAAUAAAUUGCCGCUUCAAAUAAAGUUCUUGUGAUUUUUCUUACAAAA